CUCUCUCUCUCUCUCUAUCUCUCUCUCUCUGGAGUCUGAAGUCUGAAAGUCUGAAGAGUCAAGGUAUUAAGAGCUUGAAAGACACCGAACUCAAGAGUAAACCCAAAGUCUCAGACGAAAGAGAAGAGAAAAAGGAAGUAAUAGAAAGAAAAAAGAGAGCUUCUGCGGUCUCUUUUUUUUUCUGAAACCGCCAUGAAUGGCGAGCGAGGAGGUGAUAAUAAAGCUGUGAAAAUGGAGGAAGCAAAACAAUCUUUGGUGUUCAUGUGUGGUUACCUUCCCGGAGCAUCACCACAGCGGUCGCCUUUGAUUUCUCCUGUCCUCGUGCGGUUACCGCCUUCAAUAAGUUCUGGAGAUUCAUGGAAGGGUGUUUGUCGUGGUGGGUGUGGAUUCGCAAUGGCGAUUUCUGAAUCAGGAAAGCUCAUCACGUGGGGCUCAACAGAUGAUCUAGGUCAAAGCUACCUGACUUCGGGGAAGCAUGGGGAAAUUCCGGAGCCCUUUCCUCUUCCUACUGAAGCUUCAAUAGUCACAGCUGCAGCGGGUUGGGCCCAUUGUGUCUCGGUUACAGACAGGGGAGAAGUCUACACGUGGGGUUGGAAAGAGUGUGUUCCCUCUGGAAAGGUGAUCGGAGAUUCGUCCACAGGCCCCAGCUUAGAGAAGGAUAUACUUGAAAGACAGAAUUCCAUGCUAACUGAACAAGUAAGCCCUAGGUCUCAAAGUCCAAGAUCAGCCACUGGAACAGUAUCUAGUUUUGACAAUAGAGGCAGUGGAGAGGAAAGUACAAAACGAAGAAGAAUAUCAUCAGCUAAACAAGCAGCUGAAAGUUCAACAUCGGGUGAUGAAACUCUCUCAGCAUUGCCAUGUCUUGUGGAUUUAAGUCCGAGAGUGAGGAUCACUACUGUUGCGGCGGGUGGACGACAUACAUUAGCAUUGUCAGUUUCAGAUAUAGGGCAAGUGUGGGGUUGGGGCUAUGGAGGCGAAGGGCAGCUAGGUUUGGGUUCUCGGAUCCGUAUGGUAUCCUCUCCUCAUCCCGUACCUUGCAUCGAGUCCUCUGGUUAUGGAAAAGACAGAUCUUCAACAGCUCCUCGUGGAAGUAUAAAUGCAGAGGGUCAAGUUUAUAAAAUUCCAGGAACUUAUGUGAAGGGAAUUGCCUGUGGAGGUCGACAUAGUGCUGUAAUAACAGAUGUUGGUGCUCUACUGACUUUUGGUUGGGGACUUUAUGGACAGGUUUCCGACCUAUUACUUUGUCAUCUUCCGACAAGUUGGUUGUCAAAUGUGACUAUUGUGGCAAGGAACAUCACACUAGGGAGAUUUGUUGGAAGCUUCAUAGACGUUGUGCCAACUCUAGCAGGAGUAGUCAGGGUCGUGGGAAGAACACCCAAGCAAAUCAGUCUGAGACUACAACUGAUUCUGAUAGCUCCACUACUACAAGUGCCUUGUUAUCUAUCGACGAAAUGGCCAUGCUUCGUCGUAUGUUGACUCAGAUGGGAUCCUCUAUUGCUACUGCUGCCUUCUCUUUACCAACUAUCACUGCCUCCCAUUUAGCACACUCGUGUACUAUAGUUUAUGGCCAUAGUGCAUCUGUGGCCCCCCAAUCCUGGAUAAUUGACUCUGGGGCUAUUGAUCACAUGACUGGUUUGCCCACCUUUUUUCUACCUAUUGUCCUUCAGGUAAUACUAAAGUUUGUGUUGUUGAUGGUUCCUUUUCACCUAUUGCUGGAUCGGGUUCCAUUCAGUGCUCUCCUUCAUUAUCAUUGUCUUCUGUGAUACAUGUUCCUAAGUUUUCUACUAAUUUACUGUCAAUUGGUAGUAUUACCAAGGAUAUGAACUGUAAAGUCACUUUCUUUCCUACUCAAUGUGUGAUUCAGGACUUGGUGACGGAGGCAAUGAUUGGCAAUGGUAAAAUGAGUGGUGGUCCUUAUUAUAUGGACAUUGGUCCCUCACAGGCUCUACAUACUUUAUCCGAUUUGGCACUCUCAAAACUUGUGGGUUGACAUUGGCAUCUGGGUCACCCCCCACGGGGCACUUUAUCUAGAUUAUUUCUGGCAUUAGUUAGACAUUGUUGCAUGGACAAGUUUGUUUGUGAUGCGUGUGUUUUGGCAAAACAAACUCGGAGUGUUUCUUUUCUUUCUGAUAAUAGAGGAACUGUAGGAAAAGGUGGAGAAAAAGCCCAAUAAAAUGUUCAAGAUGAGGUUCACUGGAAAAGGGAAUUUAUUUUUUCAACUUUUGGUUUGUGGCAUGUUCUUUCCCCUGUUGGUGAAGAUGUAACUCUCUUUUUAAUGGUGUCUUUUGUUCCAGUGUGGGCGUGGAAGUACAGAUGAUGAGUUGAGUCCAGCCUGUGUGUCAGCUCUCUUGGGUAUCCAGAUACAAGGAGUUGCAGCUGGACUGUGGCAUACAGUUUGCAUUUCUGUUGAAGGAGAUGUGUAUGCAUUUGGAGGGA